UAGUUAAAUUAUAAUCAACUAAUUAAAUUGUCAAGGCAAAUUUAUUGUUUUUUUUUCAAAACAAAGGGACAAAUUUGAAAGGUGUCAAAGUUCAUGGUGCCAGAAGGGUUGCAGAAUUUAUCCAACUUAACCACAACAAAGUCUCUUUUAGAAAUGAAAUAAAGCUUUAUAUUAAACGGUCUGAGUACAAACAGCAUUAUAUUUUAUUUGGACGAGUUAGACUAUAUUGACUGACUCUUAUAUAAACCCUUCCAUAUUAUCAGCUCCACAGUUCUCGUUACCACAAUUAUUUGUAUCAUGAUGAUGUUCACUGCUUUUAUUUUGUUGCUGAAAGCGAAUAUAGUUUCGGGUUCGUUCCGGGGGAAGAAUCAUGUUAAUGAUAUUCCUGCAAUGUUUCGCUCAACCUACGACAAAUACCACGGACAAUACGGAAUCCAGGCAUUGACAAAGAGAGCGUGCAAGGGUGAAAUGAGAGAAAGAAUGGCUAACUUCAGAAAACAAGUUGAGAUUGUGAACGACGUGAACGAUGACAAGUCACUGCCAUAUACCGCGGGUCUGAACUUCAUGUCAGUCAUGACAAAUGAGGAGAUUGCGAACAUGCUCACUUUGAACAGAGUCAACAUUUCUAGAUGGGAGGCCGAACCAGAUACAGAAAAAAGAAGAGUACGCAGAGAAAAAGAGGGAAUAUUCAAACAGCCGUCAAGUGUGAACUGGGUUACAAGAGGUGCAUUGCCCCCCAUCAAGAACCAGGAACAAUGCGGAAGCUGCUGGGUAUUCUCUGCAACCACGGCUCUAGAAGGAAACUACUUCAUAGAAACUGGGGAUCAGGUUUCUUUCAGCGACCAGGAGAGUUUGGACUGUGCACAAGAAUUAAUAGAUGGUGGUGAUGGAUGUCAAGGUGGCCAUAUGGUGUGGCCGUACGAUUAUGUAAAAGCUGUCGAUCGGUUAGCACUAGAAAAGGAUUUCAAUUAUGUCGCCAAGGAUAGACCCUGUAACAUGAAAGGUGUUCCAAAUGGAUUGAAAAAAGCACGUGUAACAGGUUGGAGACAGCUGCCUCAGUCUGAUAGCAGCUUGUUAGAAGCCGCAGCCGAUCACGUGAUUUCAGUUGGCAUUCAAACGACGAACACGCCAUUUUCCCUGUACAGAUCUGGGAUAUAUGUUUGUCUACCAGAUAAGGGUUGCAACUGCCAAUUAUGGGGAGACCAUGCUGUGGAUCUGGUUGGGUACGGGAAGGGGUACUGGAACGUGAGGAACUCUUGGGGGGCUCGUUGGGGCGACAAGGGCUACAUUAAGAUGUCCCGAGAUCAGGACAACAUUUGCUUGAUAAAUACUGUUGCCACUAUCCCGACUUUUCAAUGCAGGAAAGAUCAGCAGUGCGAUAAGUGGGAUGGCGAUGACGAAGAUGAGGAGGAAGAUGAAGAAGAAGAAGACGAUUAUGAUGUAGGAGAUGAAGUUAAAUGCGGGUCCAUAAAACAUUUUGGAGGCAGAUGCGUAGACUUAGAUGACUCAGAGAGCAAGGGAGCAAUACUGACAGAUAUUGGAUGUGACCGUCAGUUCUGCCUCACAGACAAGGGUUACGUACAAGAUAAAGUCACGGACUUGUGCCUUACAACCUCGAAUCCCAACCGGAGUAACAAUUUGAUAACCUUCGGAGCUUGUAACAGUGCACUAAAAUGGUCUGAAACUAGUGAUGGUUUCCAGAUCCAGGGUGGUUCAAGGUGUUGGCACCCUAAAGGAGGUCGUCCAAACCCUCACAAUGAAUGCAAAAUCGUUAUCUAUUCUGGAUGUACUGGAGAUCGCUUAAGUUUUAAGAUAACUGAAAACCUUUGUUGGGAGGAAAUAAGUGGCAAGAAACUCGGCAAAAAACUCAAAGGUGAUGAUAAAACGCAACUCAUCGAGAAGGAAUUUGAUGAUGCCAAGGAUCUAUGCUUAGAGACGCCAGGAUGUAAAGGACUCUACUACAACAAGAAUAAGGGCUACCAGCUGUGUGGAUCUAACAAGCCCAAAGAUGGUAAAAAUAAAGAAAAGAUCUUUGUCAUAAGGGACUGCUCAAAAGCUUGUGAAGCAGGAGAACAGAGGUGUGAUGAUGGAGAGUGCAGAGAGAGGUGUGAUGACGAUGACGAUGACUGUCCUCCUGGGACCACUCGGUGUCCUGAUGGAGUUUGUAAACAUAUCCACAUGUGCGAACACUAGACAGCUACAUAAUUACACAAUACACAAGGGCUGCCGCCUUGAAGAUAUCACCGUAGAUAAAGUAGAAAAAAGACGAAAUAUCACUCAACAAACCAAACCGGGUUGAGUGAAUAAGGGAUGGGAUUCUUAAAACUGUGCAGGGAUUAUUUAGUUGCAAAAAAUUCAAAGUGGCUAUCAAUUUAACACAUUUCACUUUGAGUAGUUUUAAAGGCCAUGAGAGCUGAAGGUGGUAACAUAACAAUGGUAUUGGUGGUACAGACUACAGAGGUCGUUGCAAAUGUUUAGUAAACCUAUACAAUAUACAUCUGCCAGGAUAUAGUCCUAUAAACCACUGUGAAAUAUAGUUCUGACAAGCUCCUGCUCCGGGGAAUUACUUUUGUCAAGUGAUUCGUCACGUGUUCUCACUGUAAUUGAAUUACAGUAUGGUUAGUCUGUUCCCGGUGGCACUUCUUUGAGGAUGAUCAGUUACGAUAGUAGGGCGAUGGCGUUGCUGUAGUGUGACAACGUGUUCGAUACUAUUUUUUAGGUUCGCGAUUGAUUUCUUGUACUUUAAAUUUAACACCGUUUAGAAAUUUACAACCCGGUUCACAUCAAUCUGAAUUUCUUCACAAUUUACAAGUAAAACAA